GCGAAGGUGGCGGAAUUGGUAGACGCGCUAGCUUCAGGUGUUAGUGUUCUUACGGACGUGGGGGUUCAAGUCCCCCUCAGGUGUUAGUGUCCUUACGGACGUGGGGGUUCAAGUCCCCCCCCUCGCACCA
rnacentral:tRNA from 1 species